rnacentral:lncRNA from 1 species
UCGUCCCCUGCAGGUUAGUUUCCUUGGAUUGAGUCCGAUCGAGACUAGCUACCCAAGAUUCGUUCGAUGACCGUAUGUUGUUUUGUCUUUCCGAUGAGUUUCUUCAGAGAUGUUAGACGCAUGCAUAUGUGCAAACUGGCUUGGUCAAUGUUCAGUUUCAGUUACGAUGAUGAACACUGCAGACGUAAUGGAGUAUAGUAGCACUACUUGGAUAU